rnacentral:rRNA from 1 species
UGUUGAGUUUGGCUUUAGACUGGGCACCAAGUCUAGAUGGCUCGGGUCCUUCGGGGCCUGGGUCUACUCACUAGGCGUAUUACCAUGAGCAAAUCAGAGUGUUUAAAGCAGGCUUUUCAGCUUGAACGUGUUAGCAUGGAAUAAUGAAAUAUGACCCAGGGUCUAUUUCGUUGGUUUUGAGACCCAAAGUAAUGAUGAAUAGGAGUGGUCGGGGGCAUUUGUAUUUCGGCGCUAGAGGUGAAAUUCUUGGAUUGCCGGAAGACAAACUACUGCGAAAGCAUUUGACCCAGGGCAUCUCCAUUGGAUCAAGGGGCUAAAAGUUGAGGGAUCGAAAAACAAUUAGAUUCCCGUUCGUAAGUCUUAAACCACCAAACGAUGCCGACUAGAGAUCGGGCUUGACUAUUGAGGCUUGCUCGGGAUCUUAGCGAAAGCAAAGUUUUUGGGUUCUGGGGGGAGUACGGCUCGCAAGGCUGAAACUUAAAGGAAUUGACGGAAGGGCACCACCAGGAGUGGAGCCUGCGGCUUAAUUUGACUCAACACGGGGAAACUCACCAGGUCCAGACAUACGGAGGAUUGACAGAUUGAAAGCUCUUUCUAGAUUGUAUGGGUGGUGGUGCAUGGCCGUUCUUAGUUCGUGGAGUGAUUUGUCUGGUUAAUUCCGAUAACGAACGAGACCUUAUUCUGCUAAAUAGACAGACUCAUUUUUUAAUGGGGUUGAAGGCUUCGGUCUUUGCUGUCUUCUUAGAGAGACUAUCGU